AGAUCAUGGGCGAUUGAAUACAAUAUUCAAAACAGGGCAUUAUCGGCACUUCUGAAAAUUUUGAUUACAUUCGGUUCAAGAAACCUGCCAAGUGACAGCAGGUCUCUCCUUAGAACUCCACGCUCUAUUCAAAUUGAAAAUACAGCUGGCGGACAAUACUGGUACAACGGAAUCGGAAAUUGUUUGAGAAACGUUUUUGGAAAAUUGAAUUCGAAUAUAACUUUAGAAUUGAAUUUCAACGUCGAUGGCCUACCGUUGUUUAAAAGUUCUCCAGUUACAUUCUGGCCGAUUUUGGCAAAUAUACAUGGAAUGUCCGAUGUCAAGCCUAUGGUAAUAGGUAUCUGGAGUGGAAUUGGGAAACCAAAGGAUUUAACAGAUUUCCUACAGCCUCUUGUGAGCGACAUCGACACUGUAAUUAGAAAUGGUGUUAUGAUCAAUGAGUAUAGAAUUGAUAUAGUCAUUAGAUGCUUCCUGUGCGACUCGCCAGCACGAUCAUUUAUAAAAGGUAUAGCAUAUUUCAACAGCAAAUACGGAUGUCAAAAAUGUUAUUGCAUUGGCGUGUUUGAUAAGAAUGCACGGCGUAUGCAUUUUGCGGAAUUCAACAAACCGAAACGCACGAAUAAUCAGUUCCUCAACAGAUUCCAAAAAGAACACCACCGAGAAGAAUCAAUUCUCCAAGAUUUGAAGAAUCUGAAUGGAGAACCACUGAUUGAUAUGAUCAAACAAUUCCCGACGUCGG